CCGCCCGCUCCGCUCCUCUGCUGCCCUUCUGUCGUUGUGUGAUUCAGUUUUUUUGCAAACAUUCCCAACCUACAGACCCUAAUUCCUACUGACUUGUCUUCAAAUGCAAAGAUAAGAGCUGUUAGGGACAUUCUGUCACUACCCCAAAUAUUUUUUUUAUUUUUUAUUUUUUUCUUUUAGGUAGAUGUUUUGGACUCCGUACAAGUUUGUUCUUUCACUGUAUCCAGCGCUGAAAAACGAUAUGUCCCAAGGAGAUCAGCUAUUGACCACCCUUACUCAUUUACAAGUGUAUCUCCCAGCUGUUCGGAGAGGCAGAGCAGCCAGCUUGUGGAAACACUGCUGUUAGUACAGAGGUUCUUUGAUCCAGAAGGAAUGAACAGAUUUUUAUUUCUAAUCUUUACUGAACAGCUAGAAGUGAAAAUAAUUUGUAUUCAAAGUAAUGCCACACAUACAAUAGCAGAAAAAUGAUAAAUAGUUUAACGCUGAGCGUGUACAUGGAGAAUCAAGGCUUGGUGCUGGCCGUGUGACCUACUCAAAACACACAAACUCUUUGCAGAUCGUUAUUUUAAUUUGUGGAAAAGGUAAUUUUCCUAAUAAUUACCUCAUGCUGUAGCAUAUUCUGCCACUGUAAGCGUGCUUCUAGGCUAUAUUAGACCCCAGAAAAAAGCAUUGUGGGACUUGCACACAGAUCACAUAAUUUGGGCAAAGUAGUAACAAAUGGCUGGACGUAGACAAGCGAUACAAGCAAGACUGUCUGUAACUUAACUGCCCAUGAACACGCUUAAGUGCAUGAAUUCACUGAAGUGAAAAAGUCAGGAAGAAGCCACGAGCAGCUGGUGAGCUCUGCUUGGAGUGGUCUUCCAGUGAAGCUGCCUUUGAAGACUUACCUUGUGCUGCCACCACCAAAACUCAUGUUCAUUUUCCAGUGUUUUGCCCACAGCUGCAUUUGUCCAGGAAGAUGUUGCCUUCUGUGGUAUGCCUGAAAGAAGUCCUUGCAAAAACACAAAAUCCUGAGCUGCUCUUCUCAAUUUUGUGUGGCCAUAGUGGAGAAGAGGAAGGACGGCGUGUUCUCCACAGAGGCUGGUAUGGUUGAAAUGAAGAUGAGAAGGCAGAGGCAGAUUGUACAUCCCAUACUACAAAGCACAGAGAGGCUCAUCCUAUUCACAACUGACAGAUGAUAAACUGGGAAAAUAGCUGAUUGUGAGUUUACCUAAAAUUAACAGAAUUGUCUUUUCAGGCAGAGGGUCCAGGAGGUAUUUUGGAAGAGAAAAAGGCUUGAAGUCUGAAAAUGUGCUGGUAACAUCCAGCUGCAGAGGUGAAGUACAGUCUUCUAGCAUUUGUGUCAUUCUGCGGUCUACUCUUUUCAUCUUUGAAGUCACCUGUGCAACUUUCUCCACAGCAGAGCUUGAUGACAGAAGAACUUGGAAACAUUCGGUAGAGCCACGUGUGAUUGAUCAAAAUAUUCACCCUAAGCAAACAAACAAAACAAAACAAAAAAAACACAAACAAGCAAUGUUAGGAUUUGCUAGAGAUGGGAUUUACCUGCAGCAGAACGUGACUAUCAGAAUCCAUGAGAUGCUUCCAAAAGAACUUGUUCUACCAGCACAAUCACUUUGAAGGUCUUCAUCCACUUUUUCUGCAAUAAAAAGAGUUGAAACACCACAUUUUAUAACAAGUUCUUCAGUGCGAGGGUGCUGCAGGACUUCAAGAAGAGCCACAGUUACCGCACCUACUUAACUGUUAAGACAGAAUAUGCCCACCGCCCAUUAGCACAUCUAUGCUGUGUCUAAAGCAUAGCCCGGGCCAACUCGUCCUCGCCCUUUGCUCCUGCCCUGCUUCAUGUGGCCCCCAGGGGCAGCUCCGUGCCCACAGCAGGACAGGAUCAUCCUUGUUCCUGUUAAAGCAUGCUCAUGAUCUGGACUCUGGGACCCAAGCAGGACUGAGGGAUACAUCUGCUGAUGAUGAGAGGCUGAAUGGUCUUCAUCCCCUUGCUACCAUCCCAGGAUUUGAAAGAGUGACGUAGUAUUUUAUCCCUUUUCAAGAUUAGGGAUGCAGAAACCUGUGGGAUUUGCCUCUCCCACUGAGGUGCUGCUGCCUGGUUCACUGCCUGGCGGAGAAUGUCUGUAAGAGCUGAUUUAACCAGAAAAAAAAAAGUGUGUAUCCUUUCUCAGGAGAUCCACAGCAGGGCUGAAGCAUUGCAAACGUUGCAUCCGUUUCCUCCUGUCGUCUGCUCCCACGUGACGGCAGUGCCUGUGCUGUGCUCUCAGCUCACCCUGCAAAUGCUCCUUGUGGUGGGAGUUAGCACAGAGCUGGUGCAGAGGACUUUGUGUUUGUUGGCAGCAUCCUUGCUUGCAUUCCACUGGCACCAGCUGCUCGACACACAGGAGCCCAAGGUGGCAAAUGCUCUUACAUUCUCUUUCAAUUUUCAGGUGAAGGUCUAUAUCACAUUAACCUCUUUUGUUUUGGGGGGAAAUGGUAAGGCUUUUAUUUAUUUAUUUUUAAGAAAAACACAUUACACCCAAGUGGGAGAAACGACUGCGUUGCAUACUGUGGUUGGGAGCGCAGGGCAUUUGCGUUCCAUCUGAUCUGGAGCUUCCACUCCCUGCAGUUACUAAAUCUGGUAGCUACUGGCAGGAGCAUAGACCCAGAGAUGGGCAGGACUAGUUUGCCAUGCCAAAUGUUUUUCUGUUGCCCUCAUGCUAUUUUCUAGAACUAAAGAUUUUACUGUGAUAAAGAUGACAUCCUGAAGCACUGUAGGAGGUACGAGGAUGUAACUGCACUUGACCUGAACUUGGAUUAGGUAUGUCUCUGAUCCUGUAUCCCAUCUUGAACUUACCAGUGAAUAACUACGUAUGUGAACAAUGAAAAUAUGACCUUCUUGUUCUGUAAAUACAAAAAAAGAAAGGAACAGCUUUGAAAAUCCAGCCAUCUUUCAAGUUCUCUGAGAGCAUGAAGACCCUGAGUCAUCACAGUGAAAUUCAACAGGAAUGUUCUUAUUAGUGGACUGAGGAUAUAGAUGUGGUUUUAUAUGUGGAAACCUGUAUUUAUAUGUGGAAAUCUGUAUUUUUUUCCAGUAGUCUUCAUUACUGUAAUAAACGAUGCUCUCUCUCCCUGCA